UUCACCGUUUCUCUCCUUCUUUCUCGCACAUUUACCUUUACCGUGGCUGCACGGAGGACCUCAUCGCUGCUCAUUUACCUUUCCCAUGGCUGUUUGAAGGAUCUCAUUGCUGCUCUCCCGCUCUCUCGCUUGUACCACCGCCAUCGCCUCAGCCCGUGCUUUGCUGUCUCGAAGUGCUGCUUCACUUUCCAUCGACGCCCGCAAUGGCAAGUGAAAAACCUUCCGGAAGUUGGACUUAGGACAGGGGAGGUGAUCGCCCAUGUAGCUUAAGGGGAUGCUGAGGACGUAAACCGAGCAGUGUCGGCUGUUCGUAAGGCGUUUGACAAAGGGCUAUGUCCGUAAAUUACAUCCCACUAAAGAUUAAUGGUGCUUCUUCGGUUUGUCGAUUUGCUGGAGAAGCACAAUGGCGAACUAGCGACGCUUGGGACAUGGGAUAAUGGAAAGCCAUAUCAACAUGGAUUUCAAUAAUGCUCUUCACGUGGAUUUUUUUCGAUUACAUGAGAAGCCCGUCACAUGGAUUUAAU